rnacentral:rRNA from 1 species
AGACCCGAAACCCGGUGAUCUAGCCAUGGGCAGGUUGAAGGUUGGGUAACACUAACUGGAGGACCGAACCGACUAAUGUUGAAAAAUUAGCGGAUGACCUGUGGCUGGGGGUGAAAGGCCAAUCAAACCGGGAGAUAGCUGGUUCUCCCCGAAAGCUAUUUAGGUAGCGCCUCGUGAAUUCAUCUCCGGGGGUAGAGCACUGUUUCGGCUAGGGGGCCAUCCCGGCUUACCAACCCGAUGCAAACUGCGAAUACCGGAGAAUGUUAUCACGGGAGACACACGGCGGGUGCUAACGUCCGUCGUGAAGAGGGAAACAACCCAGACCGCCAGCUAAGGUCCCAAAGUCAUGGUUAAGUGGGAAACGAUGUGGGAAGGCCCAGACAGCCAGGAUGUUGGCUUAGAAGCAGCCAUCAUUUAAAGAAAGCGUAAUAGCUCACUGGUCGAGUCGGCCUGCGCGGAAGAUGUAACGGGGCUAAACCAUGCACCGAAGCUGCGGCAGCGAACGUAUCACUUAAAGCGAUUCAGCGGGUUACGAUUGACGGAGCGAAGCGACGUCAAAGCGUAUACAAAGUCGAGUCGGUUUAAGGAUACGUUCGUUGGGUAGGGGAGCGUUCUGUAAGCCUGUGAAGGUGUGUCGUGAGGCAUGCUGGAGGUAUCAGAAGUGCGAAUGCUGACAUAAGUAACGAUAAAGCGGGUGAAAAGCCCGCUCGCCGGAAGACCAAGGGUU